AUUGAACGCUGGCGGCAUGCCUUACACAUGCAAGUCGAACGGCAGCACGGGAGCAAUCCUGGUGGCGAGUGGCGAACGGGUGAGUAAUACAUCGGAACGUGCCCAGUUGUGGGGGAUAGCCCGGCGAAAGCCGGAUUAAUACCGCAUACGACCUACGGGUGAAAGCGGGGGAUCGCAAGACCUCGCGCAAUUGGAGCGAC
rnacentral:rRNA from 1 species